rnacentral:tRNA from 1 species
GAGAUGUGGUUCAGUGCUAGAGUUCUUGCCUACCAUGCAUGAAGCCCUGGGUUUGAUCCCCAGCACACA